CCUAUCCUGAAAAAACAUCCCUUGACCCGUCCUCCCCCUCUAACUAUUGUCCCAUAUCCCUGCUCCCUUUUCCCUCAAAGUUUCUGGAAAGACUUGUCUUUUACCCGUAUGUCUUACUUCCUCAAUUCCAACUCUCUACUUGACCCUCUUCAAUCUGGCUUCCGCCCUCUCCACUCUACUGAGACUGCUCUUAUUAAAGUUACUAAUGACUUAAUCACAGCUAAAUCCAGAGGCCACUACUCCAUAC